UCUCAAUAGAAAUUGGGUUAGGAAGCCUAGGACAGAGUCCAAAGGAAAGAAAUAUCAGCUAGAUUCAGAUAUGUGGAACUGGAAAAGAAGAAUAUUUUAGCAUCAAUCUCUCAAGAAAAAAAGAGAGUAUCUGCCUGGAAACCCUGUUGCCUGGAGACCACUCUUGAAGAACAUCCACUGCUGUGGCCUCUUAAAGAUUUAAGACAUCUAAUGAAGAGCUGACAGAAAUCAUCAAUUUGCUCCUCAGGACAUGGAUUGACCUGGAAGCCAUUAUCCUCAGCAAACCGAUGCAGGAACAGAAAACCAAACACUGCGCGUUCUCACUUCUAAGUGGGACCUGAACAAUGGGAACACAUGAACACAAGGAGGGGAACAACACAUACUGGGUCCCGUCAGGGGGUGCGGAGGGAGGGAGAGCAUCAGGAUAAAUAGCUAAUGCAUGCGGGGCUUACUACCUAGGUGAUGGGUUGAUAGGUUCAGCAAACCACCAUGGCACAUGUUUACCUGUUUACCUAUGUAACAAACCUGCACAUCCUGCACAUGUA